AGCUUAAUAUUGUAUGGUUAACAUGAAUUUGAUUUGUUUAGUUCACUGUGUCCCAUCUAUAUGGAGGCACAUAUGACUUAUAUUUAUAGGAGUAAUAACUGCAAUUCUGUGUGAAGGGAAGAAGGAUGGAGGAUUUAUACCAAUCAACAAAAAUUUGUGGUCACUGUCAUUUGUGCUCUGUCUGUCCUGUUUUGCCUUCUUCAUGUUUGCCUUCUGCUAUGUGACCAUUGAUGUGUAUAACAUAUGGUCUGGGGCGCCGUUCUAUUACCCAGGUAUGAACUCCAUCUUCAUGUACGUGGGACACCUGGUGUUCCAGCCCUACUUCCCAGUAAGCCUCUAUGUGGAUGAGAGCUCCCACUGGGCCCAGCUCUCCAUGAACAUUUGGGGACCAGCUUUCUGGUGCCUCUUCACAUACAAAAUGUACACGGACCGGAUAUUCAUCACCAUCUAGACAGCGAAUGAAUGCGAUACUGUUGUACAUGGGCCACGAGUGUGUGAGUCAGCCACUGGCUACGUUCCUGAACAUGCAGGUCAGACGGAGGUCACAUGAACUCUGUCUGCCUUUCAAUUGCUUGGACACAGCCAUCUGGAUUCUCCUCUCAUAUUUUCUCUUCAAGCACAACAUAUUUCUGUCAGUAUGAAUAAGAUGUCAUGCUACUUGCAAGCAUAAUCCCGGUGUAUUUGUUACUGAUACUCCUAGUUUAGUUGAAAUAUUGCUACAGAUGAAUAAUUGUAACAGUCUUGUCAAACAGAAUCCUUUUGUUGUAAUUGUUUUACAUUUUGAUCAAAUUGAAUUUUCAUUUGUGUGUAUGGUAAACAUUUGUAAUUCAAGUAUCCUUAAUUUUGAUUGAACAGUAUAGCAGUGAUAAAACUUUUCAUUCAAAGUGAUAUUUAUUAACUUGGUGACAUUGUUUUAACAAAGAUACUAUCAGAAAAUACAAAUUAUUUCAAUAGAAAACAUUGUAAAAACAAAUUAUGCUCACAGUUCUUGCUAGUCAGUCAUAUGUAUAUAGAUACUGUAUGAUUAAUAUUUACCUAUUAAUGCUAUUAGUUUUAUUGUUAACGUCUUAAAGACAUGUAUUUUUAUUUAUUGAGAUCUAUAUGUACAUGUAAUUCUAUUUGUUGUUUCUUAAUUUAUGUAUUUUGCUUAAUAUUCCAAGCUUUUCAUUUAACGAUGAAUAAAUCAUGUCUAACUAAUUAACAUUUCUUAUGUAAGGCAAAAUUAUUAGUUCAUAACCAAUUGCAUUUUGUUGGGUUGUGAUGUCACUCAUUAAGUAGCAAACUCUUUAUUUUAUUACAAUCAAUUUCUCCUUUUAAUUGUCAAUGUAUUGAAAAAUGUACUUUUGAUAUCAUCUUUUAUAGGUUGUAUGUUUACAGAGCAUGCUGUGUGUAGAAUGAAUGGUUUGUGAUAAUUAAUAAAAUUGGGCAAUUUGU